ACUGUUUGAUGAUGGCUCAGAUUGAACGCUGGCGGCAUGCUUAAUACAUGCAAGUCGAACGGUAACAGAUUCUUCGGAAUGCUGACGAGUGGCGGACGGGUGAGUAAUACAUAGGAAUCUGCCCAUGUAGUGGGGGACAACUUGGGGAAACUCAAGCUAAUACCGCAUAAUUCCUACGGGAUAAAGAGGGCCACUGCUUGCAAGCUCUUGCUACUGGAUGAGCCUAUGUCGGAUUAGUUAGUUGGUAAGGUAAUGGCUUACCAAGACAGCGAUCCGUAGCUGGUUUGAGAGGAUGAUCAGCCACACUGGGACUGAGACACGGCCCAGACUCCUACGGGAGGCAGCAGUAGGGAGUAUUGGACAAUGGGCGCAAGCCUGAUCCAGCAAUGCCGCGUGUGUGAAGAAGGCCUGCGGGUUGUAAAGCACUUUCAAUUGGGAAGAAAGAUUAUGAGUUAAUACCUUAUAAUAUUGACGUUACCAAUACAAGAAGCACCGGCUAACUCUGUGCCAGCAGCCGCGGUAAUACAGAGGGUGCGAGCGUUAAUCGGAAUUACUGGGCGUAAAGAGUACGUAGGUGGUUAAAUCAGUCGGAUGUGAAAGCCCCAGGCUUAA
rnacentral:rRNA from 1 species